UCGACGAAGUAAUGACUCUGUCGACAUCGGAUGAAGUUUUGAUAAAUCUUGAAGAGACACCGACAUCAUCAAGUAUGGAAGUUAUGUCUUCAAAAAUACAUUGUCUGGAACUUCAAGUAGCCGAAAUGAAGAAGACAAUAGACAAA
rnacentral:lncRNA from 13 species